rnacentral:rRNA from 1 species
UACGUAGGAUGCAAGCGUUGUCCGGAAUUAUUGGGCGUAAAGAGAACGUAGGUGGUUUCUUAAGUUCGAUCUUAAAGACCGGGGCUCAACCUCGGGAAUGGAUUGAAAACUGGGAGACUAGAGGAUGUUAGAGGACGGUGGAAUUCCAAGUGUAGCGGUGAAAUGCGUAGAUAUUUGGAGGAACACCAGUGGCGAAAGCGGCCGUCUGGGACAUUCCGUGACACUGAGGUUCGAAAGCUCGGGGAGCAAA